rnacentral:lncRNA from 11 species
GUAGAGUCUCACUUAUCCAACGUAAACGGGCCAGCAGAACGUUGGAUAAGCGAAUAUGUUGGAUAAUAAGGAGAGAUUAAGGAAAAGCCUAUUAAACAUCAAAUUAGGUUAUGAUUUUACAAAUUAAGCACCAAAACAUCAUGUUAUACAACAAAUUUGACAGAAAAAGUAGUUCAAUACGCAGUAAUGCUAUGUAGUAAUUACUGCAUUUACGAAAUUAGCACCAAAAUAUCACGAUGUAUUGAAAACAUUGACUACAAAAAUGCGUUGGAUAAUCCAGAAUGUUGGAUAAGUGAGACUCUACUGUACUGUAAACAAUAAAAAAUAUUUAUAAAUAAAUAAAUAAAAUAGCUCACCAGCAAAUUCACCUGUGCUUUUAGAAUGAGAAUAAUAACAUGGGUUGCCUCAUUUUUUUUUUUGAGGUUAAGAAAACUGCAGAACAGCUCCCCUCCCUUCAACAGGUGUUUAGAAGCAGGGAUUCCAGUCAGGUGUUGCUUGUUCUGAAGGAAGAUGGCAAGCAAGACCUGUUGGCAUUUCCUCUGUGAGACAAACACUGAAGGGGCAAGGCUUCAAAGCUGGGAUUCUGGCCACCUCCAAGAAACUAUAUACUAGAAGCAUUUGAUAGUCGGCUUGGGGAGAGGUGGAGCCAAGAGAGGAAAACUCCCGCGCCGCCCGUGUGGAGAAUGAAAGCCCUGAAAGCAGGAGCAGCUGCAGGCGCGCGCUCUUCGCUUUGAGACGGGCCCGCCUCUUUGGCAAACUCAGCCCCGGUCCUGCCUUCUCAGGUGAGACGAGAGGGCUGCCUGUCGCACACUCGCGAGCCAGAAACAGCAGCAGCAGCAGCUCAGCCUGGAGAGGAAGAGGCGCCCAGGGUCUCUCACUCCCUUGCCUUGCAUCCUCAGCCAUGAACAGCCGGAGAGUGGCCAGCAUCUCGGCGCAGCUGGAGGAAGCCGGCUCCACAGGCGAAAAAUCGAAAACAUAUAAAGUUCUUGUUUAGGAUGGCAUCAUUCGUCCCCGAGAAAAAAUGGAAAAUGGAGGACUUUCCACAGCACUACAAGAAACCUAGCAUUUUCAUGAAAACAUGCAGACAUUGUUGUUCGAUUCUGAGAAUGAUGUUCUGGGAACACUCAAAUUCUGAAGGACUAAGUUUACCAUUUUGGAUCCAGGAUGGAACUUUUCUAAUUUGA